CUUUCUCAGGCAUGUGAUCUUGAUAUUUUAGCUAGUGUAAUUUUCCUGUGCUCGACGUAGUGCUCUGUUCUUAGCAACUUUUACUUAAAAUGUUCUUAAUGUUUUUGUUGUGAUACGUGAACUUGCAUGCAUCCAGAAAAGGAUUGCUUGGCUCCUUUUCAAUCCAAAAGAGAACACCUAUAAAAGUGAUGCUUCUAUUGUGAAGCCAUUUACAUGGCAUUGUUGUUCUGUUUUUCAUUUUUUCUAAUGUUAAUUUGUGUAGAUUGAAAAUGAAUAUGGUUCAG
rnacentral:misc_RNA from 1 species